rnacentral:rRNA from 1 species
UACGAAGGGUGCAAACGUUGCUCGGAGUUACUGGGCGUAAAGGGUGUGUAGGCGGUUGUUUAAGUUUGGUGUGAAAUCUCCCGGCUCAACUGGGAGGGUGCGCCGAAUACUGAAUGACUUGGAGUGCGGGAGAGGAGAGUGGAAUUCCUGGUGUAGCGGUGAAAUGCGUAGAUAUCAGGAGGAACACCGGUGGUGUAGACGGCUCUCUGGACCGUAACUGACGCUGAGACACGAAAGCGUGGGUAGCAAACAGG